GAUGAACGCUAGCGGCAGGCUUAAUACAUGCAAGUCGAGGGGUAGCAAGAUUGUAGCAAUACAAUUGUUGACGACCGGCAAACGGGUGCGGAACACGUACACAACCUUCCUACAAGUGGGGAAUAGCCCAGAGAAAUUUGGAUUAAUACCCCCGUAACAUAGCGAUGUGGCAUCACAUUGCUAUUAUAGCUUCGGCGCUUGUGGAUGGGUGUGCGGCUGAUUAGAUAGUUGGCGGGGUAACGGCCCACCAAGUCUACGAUCAGUAGCUGAUGUGAGAGCAUGAUCAGCCAAACGGGCACUGGAACACGGGCCCGACUCCUACGGGAGGCAGCAGUAAGGAAUAUUGGACAAUGGACGCAAGUCUGAUCCAGCCAUGCCGCGUGAAGGAUUAAGGUCCUCUGGAUUGUAAACUUCUUUUAUAAGGGACGAAAAAAGGUCUUUCUAGAUCGUCUGACGGUACCUUAUGAAUAAGCACCGGCUAACUCCGUGCCAGCCGCCGCCGUAAGAC
rnacentral:rRNA from 1 species